rnacentral:rRNA from 1 species
GGAGUUAGCCGGUGCUUCUUCUGUGAGUGAUGUCCUUCCUGCCGGCUAUUAACCCGCAGGCCUUCUUCCUCACUGAAAGUGCUUUACAACCCGAAGGCCUUCUUCACACACGCGGCAUGGCUGGAUCAGGGUUGCCCCCAUUGUCCAAUAUUCCCCACUGCUGCCUCCCGUAGGAGUCUGGGCCGUGUCUCAGUCCCAGUGUGGCUGAUCAUCCUCUCAGACCAGCUACGGAUCGUCGCCUUGGUGAGCCGUUACCUCACCAACCAGCUAAUCCGACAUAGGCUCAUCCGAUAGCGCGAGGCCCGAAGGUCCCCCGCUUUCCCCCGUAGGGCGUAUGCGGUAUUAGCCUGGGUUUCCCCAGGUUAUCCCCCACUACCGGGCAGAUUCCUAUGCAUUACUCACCCGUCCGCCGCUCGCCACCAGGUAGCAAGCUCCCCGUGCUGCCGCUCGACUUGCAUGUGUUAGGCCUGCCGCCAGCGUUCAAUCUGAGCCAGAAUCGAACCCUGA